GAGGCGGCGGGGGAAGAUGGUGGAGGACGGCGCGGAGGAGCUGGAGGACCUGGUGCACUUCUCCGUGUCCGAGUUGCCUAGUCGCGGCUACGGCGUCAUGGAGGAGAUCCGGCGGCAGGGCAAGCUGUGCGACGUGACGCUCAAGAUUGGGGACCACAAAUUCAGUGCUCACCGGAUCGUCUUAGCGGCCUCCAUCCCGUACUUCCACGCGAUGUUCACAAACGACAUGAUGGAGUGCAAGCAGGAUGAAAUUGUCAUGCAAGGGAUGGACCCGAGCGCCCUGGAGGCUCUGAUCAACUUUGCCUACAACGGCCACCUUGCCAUCGACCAGCAAAAUGUGCAGUCACUGCUGAUGGGGGCGAGCUUCCUGCAGCUGCAGAGCAUCAAAGACGCCUGCUGCACGUUCCUCCGAGAACGGCUUCACCCAAAAAACUGCCUGGGUGUCCGCCAGUUUGCUGAGACAAUGAUGUGCGCUGUGCUGUACGACGCGGCCAAUAGCUUCAUCCACCAGCACUUUGUGGAGGUGUCCAUGGCGGAAGAAUUCCUGGCCUUGCCCUUGGAGGACGUGCUGGAGCUGGUGUCCCGGGAUGAGCUGAAUGUCAGGUCCGAGGAGCAGGUGUUUGAAGCCGUGCUGGCCUGGAUCAGAUACGACCGGGAGCAGAGGGAGCCCUGCCUGCCUGAGCUGCUGUCCAACAUCCGCCUGCCCCUCUGCCGGCCCCAGUUCCUGUCAGACCGCGUGCAGCAGGAUGACCUGGUGCGUUGCUGCCACAAGUGCAGGGACCUGGUAGACGAAGCAAAGGACUAUCACCUCAUGCCAGAGCGCCGGCCCCACCUGCCGCCUUUCAGAAUUCGGCCUCGCUGCUGCACGUCCAUCGCUGGGCUUAUCUAUGCCGUGGGCGGCCUGAACUCAGCAGCAAAUUUUUAUGCAGGUGAUUCCCUGAACGUGGUGGAAGUGUUUGACCCUGUCGCCAAUCGCUGGGAGAAGUGCCAUCCCAUGACGACAGCCCGCAGCCGCGUUGGUGUGGCCGUGGUGAACGGGCUCCUCUAUGCCAUCGGGGGAUAUGACGGCCAGCUGCGGCUGAGCACUGUGGAGGUGUACAACCCGGAGACGGACACAUGGACCAGAGCGGGGAGCAUGAAUAGCAAGAGAAGUGCCAUGGGGACGGUCGUGCUGGAUGGGCAGAUCUACGUCUGUGGGGGCUACGAUGGCAGCUCUUCUCUCAACUCUGUGGAGACCUACUCACCUGAGACAGACAAGUGGACAGUGGUGACACCGAUGAGCUCGAAUCGCAGUGCUGCUGGGGUCACAGUCUUUGAGGGCAGGAUACACGUGUCGGGUGGCCACGACGGCCUACAAAUCUUCAGCAGUGUGGAGCACUACAACCACCACACGGCCACCUGGCACCCGGCCGCUGGCAUGCUGAACAAGCGUUGCCGGCAUGGGGCUGCCUCCCUGGGGAGCAAGAUGUUUGUCUGCGGGGGCUACGAUGGCUCUGGCUUCCUCAGCAUCGCCGAGAUGUACAGCUCCAUAGCAGACCAGUGGUGCCUGAUUGUCCCCAUGCACACGCGCCGGAGUCGCGUCUCCCUGGUGGCCAGCUGUGGGCGCCUCUACGCCGUGGGGGGCUAUGACGGACAGUCGAACCUGAGCUCAGUGGAGAUGUACGACCCAGAGACGGACUGCUGGACAUUCAUGGCCCCCAUGGCAUGUCAUGAGGGCGGGGUCGGUGUGGGCUGCAUCCCUCUCCUCACCAUCUAAGGCAGAGGGCGGGACGUGGUGGGGUAGGCACCUGGUACAAACAUAGGCACUUCCUUCCAGGGACAGUCCCUUCCGGGAGAGGUGGUGGAUCAGAAGACGGGGUGAAAUGUGAGCUCACCGGAGGUACAGUUUUCCCAGGUGCUUAAGUCCUCCCUCACUGUGCUGCCCUUGUGACCCUUAGGUCUAGGUCAUCAAGAUGCACAGCAUGAGACAGAAGCCCCUCUGGGUCCCACAGCUGGUGACAUGGGACUGCCUCGCUGGUCCACACGUACACAGGCUCCAUCCAAGCCCAGCUCCCACCGGCCACAGCUCCGGGCCGCCCACGGGCAGCAGGCCUUCCAUCUGACACUCCUCGCCUGCUCUUCUCCAGCCAUGUGCUGGUCAGUUCAUGACGGGGUGGCUGCAGUGGCCAAGCCGGUUGGCAACGGGGGUGUAGCUGAGAGAGAACGGCACUUGAAGUGUUCUUACUGCCUGUGAUAACGACGAUGCAGCCCCAGCACCGCCUUCUUCCGUCCUGGGGCACCGAGGGUUGUGUCCUCGUCGCUGGGUCAGCAAGGCGAACAGAAGCUUUUCCUGUGUCUCAUUUUGGCAUUCCAGUGAGGUCCUUUUCAUCUUGUUCAGGAGAAACAGAAGAAAGGGAAAAAAAGAUACUUGAAAGAAACUGAAGAAAUUUUAAAGAAACACAUGAAAAAAACGAGAGAAAAUAACUUUUUUUUAAGUGAACAUUUUUUGCAAGAAAAUAACGUGAAAAAAAGACACUAAAGGGAAACAUGUGUUUAAGUAGAAAACCACCUAACAUGAAAAGGGCGGUAUCCGCCCACAUUCGGAUGCCAGGGUCCUGAGGCUUCACACAGCACUUGGGGUUCCCUCUGAGCCCUGGUGUGUCUGGAAUCAGUGCUCUCGACUGGUCCUGUGGCAAGGUGCUCGUGAGGUUUGUCUUCACACCCAUCAUCAGAGGACUUUUUUAAUCGUAGGCUUAGUGAGUUGGCUGAAUUCCUGCCACUCUUCCAGGUGGGAGCUCCCAGCUCGUGGCUGGAGGCUGCGAGUGCCCACGUGGUUACCUCCCACUGCCACCAUGGCUCUCAUUCAGAUUCUCACCCCCACUGUCACGCCUUCCUUAUUUGACCAGCAGGAAGCAGCAAGUCUGGCCAGAUUCCCACUUGCCCAUCUAUCAUUCUUGGAUAGCUGUCCUCAUUAUCAUGCUUCUGGGGCACACUGACUGUUUGUACUCUAGAGCCUAACCAGGGACUUGGUCCUUCCACCAGCCGUGGGCUGGCUUGGUCCAGUAACCUCAUCUCCCCUGCCAGGCCACUGCUUCUCCACCCACUCGCCAAUUCCAGAGAUCUGGCUUCCCUCCGCUGACUGAUCAACAAGGUUGACCUUCACAUUCAAGCAAAACUGGCUUUGUGAUAUGAAGAACUAGCAGCCGGAAGAAUCUCUUGCUGCUGCAAAGAACAGGCUUUAUAUUUCUUCCUCUGAUCAGAUGACUUCUUGAAGAUGCUCUGUGCCCCUUCUUCCUCCUCCCUGGAUGGGACCUGACAUAGCACAGCCGGACCCAACCAGGAGGACACUGUGACCAGUGCACUGCUGCUGCCAAAACCUGGUGUCCUAAGAUGCUUCCAGUAGAGACUAAAAGAGGUUACAAUUCCUUCAAUGCAAGACAGGGGCUGAGGGUCCCCAUCUCUACCUGGUUGGUGGUCUGUCCACUGCUGCCUGCCUGGGGUGGCCUGGCAGCCUGCUCAGAAAGGCACGAUGUGGAGCCUGAGACGUCUCCCAGCCCAGGACCAUGAGGUUUACCAGUGUGUGCAAUCGCCAUGUAUCCAGAGAGAAAUACCUUUGUUACCUGCCACUUAGGAGUUGGGCCUCUGCUACAAGCACUUGAAAUAUGUUUUUUUGUGUUGUUUUUUUUUAACGACUCAACAAUCUGAUCUAGUUUUGCCGGGGCUCUUGGAGCUCCAGCAUUCCUCACUCCCUCUGGGUUUGCCUACAGAGGUAGACUCAAGGAGGCUGGUGUCUGCGUUUCCGGUUAGAGAGGAGUGUAUCAGUGCUCGUCUUAUUAUAAUAAGCCCCUAUCUUGUAAGUUUGAUGAGCCUGGGCUGUGAAGGUGCUGAGAAUCAGUCGGUGGGCUAAUUGAAUGAGUGGGCCUCACCAGGUCCUUAGGAUGCUGGCCCAGGUUCUGCCACUGGGGGUGACAGAUCAUUUUCCCGUGAUCUGCUGCUCCUGUAGUGGCCUUUCUACAUCCACUGCCGCCUCCUGGUGUAGAAGUCAGGUUGCUGCACCUGAGAGUGUUUCCAAGUAAGAUGAAGCCAGUGCUUGGAUCUGGGCUCCGAGCACAAAUGUGCUAACACCAACAUUUCACACCCUUCACGGUCGGUUCCUCAGUGUGAUGGUGAAUGUUGGCAAAUGGCUGGUCUGGCCCUUGGGUGUUGGAGCCUUUCCCAUAGCAUCCUGAGAAGAGGAGUCAUCGAUGGCCCAAGGAGAUUGUGAAAGGGUGUGACAAGGAGCUAGGACAGGUGCUCAGUGGGCCUUGGGGUCUAGCUCGGCUCCGAGCAGAGGACUGGGGCCUUCUCUCCUUGGGCAUUUCCCCUUUUCAGGUAACACACAGAGCCUUCUCUCUGGGUUUCAUCUGAGGUCAAAGCCAGAUGGGAGCUGAAGACCAGCCUUUUGACUUGGCCACAGAAAUGUGUGAGGAGUGGAAUUGGAUUCCUGCAGCCUUUAAACAUAGCCCUCGAGGCCUGUUGACCUGUGUUCCUGCCCCUGCCCCCGGUGGACUCUCCCUUCUCAGUCCUGCUUCCGUGGGACCAUAGACUUUCAGAAGCUGCAAGGCUAAGAGGCUGAGCAGUAUUUGGGGCUUCGGAGCUAUGUCGCGGCCUGAUGGGUCGCGGCCAUGAGAAUGCAACCGUGUGGCCCCCGGCAGUGCCUGGUGGCUGGUCCUCUAGGCCCACCUCUCAUGGGGCCCAGCACGAUGGGCCGGCUCCCCCGGACCAUGUGGAAUGCGGUGCGGACCACCACAGAGGGGCCGUGGGCUUCCUGGGAGAGCUUGCUCAGCCCAGUGUCAGAGUGUCCAGGGCCCAAGGGGCUGGGCCUGGUGUCCCCUAGAAGACCUGGUGAGGCCUGGAAGCACUCUCUUCCGGAAGUGGGCGUCAGGCAAGGGAGUGGUAUGCGGUGUGAAUGAGAGUGCCGCUGCUUUCUGUGGGGCUGCAGGGGUGAGACAUGACCUUCUCCAGCUAAACAGCUUUCCCCACUAUGGGGAGAGGGUCUGAGGGUCUCAAUCUAUCCUGCUCAGCCCAAACCUGACCAUUUCCCAGCCCCACCCCAGGGUCACUCCCUGCAGCAUCCGCCUCGCCUCUCCCCCACCAGUGGGUGCUGCCCAGGAUUUAGGUGGCCAGGGUGUUGGAGUGUGGACUGUAGGCAAGUCUACCAGUUUCCUUAAUUUUCUCACUUAACAUUACAGGUGAUGUGUGCGCUUUGCAAGGCAGUUGUGAGAGCUGAGAGGCUGUAUGGGAAGUGGCGUCCAUAUGUGAUGGUGUCCCCAGCCUCCUUCUAUGACUAAAAAACCCAUCCCCCCAAGGGGUUCUCCACCAUGGCCCCUCAAAUGAGAGUCACUCAGAUAUUUCUGCAUCACAGACUCUUGAAGGAGGAGCAUGCUAGAGAAGAAAAGGGGGUUCAUCCAUCGACAAGUACUCCACAACGGUGUGCCCGGCUCUGUUCUCGGGGCUGCAUGCAUCAGGGACCAAGACUGAGGCUGGCUGGUCCAGAUGCCAGUGGUGAGAGACAGCGGGCAGCCAAGGAUGACAGUCAUGUUUGGGGAUAGCUGACGUUGCCAUCAGGUGGGCUGGAGGAAGAACAGGUUUGAAGGGAAGCUACUGAGCGUGUGAUACCCUUUGGACAUCCAUGGGAGGUGUCCAGGAGGCAGUGUGAUACACAAGUUGUGUUCAGCGAAAGGUUCUGGCUGGAGCUUUGUGAUAAUGGAGGAGGCAUAAAGGAGCUAAAGGCAGUUGAGCAGGCUGGGGGUAGGUUACUGUGCUGCUUUCCUGAGCCGCCAGAUGGCCCUCAGGUGCCCCUCUCUGCCCUAACCCCAUGUUUCUCCCCAUCGUCUCCGCCCUGACCUCAGGGACUCUGGGUUCCAUGAGGCACAGUGGAAU